rnacentral:lncRNA from 1 species
AAUCUCAAUCCAUAUCCGCGGUAUCUAUGAAUUUUUGGUAAAUUUACGAAUAUGAUUACGAGUUUUUCUUACCCAAAAAAUUAUAAAUAAAAUGGAUCGGUAAAAGUUAUAUUAUGAGCAUUUUGGAUAAUCUGCGGGUACCCACGGAUAACCAUAUAUAUAAUUUUUUUAAAAAAAUUAAAAAUUGAAUACUCAUUUUAUUAUACUCAUUUCUAGAACCCUAAUUCUAAUUUCUCCUAAUGUCAUUUUUUUUCUUUAUUAUGUUGCGAUGUUUUAAAUGAUAAAAUAAAUUUGAUUUUUUUAAAAUAAUAAUAUACAUAUAUAUAUUAUUUGUGUUUGAAAAAUAAAAAGAAUAAAAAAAGAUUGCAUUGUGGGUAAUCCGUACACUCUGCCCACCCGCAGGUUGGUACGUAUAAAGAUGAUGGCUAUCCAAAACUUUAUACGAAAAUUCUACCCGCAUCAGCAUAAUUUGAGGAUACAAUA